rnacentral:rRNA from 1 species
AACGUAGGUGGCAAGCGUUAUCCGGAAUUACUGGGCGUAAAGCGUGCGCAGGCGGUGAUGUAAGACAGGUGUGAAAUCCCCGGGCUUAACCUGGGAACUGCAUUUGUGACUGCAUCGCUGGAGUGCGGCAGAGGGGGAUGGAAUUCCGCGUGUAGCAGUGAAAUGCGUAGAUAUGCGGAGGAACACCGAUGGCGAAGGCAAUCCCCUGGGCCUGCACUGCCGCUCAUGCACGAAAGCGUGGGGAGCAAACAGG